AACGAACGCUGGCGGCGUGCCUAACACAUGCAAGUCGAACGAGAAAGGGGCUUCGGCUCCGAGUAAAGUGGCGCACGGGUGAGUAACACGUGGGUAACCUGCCUCUAAGAUUGGGAUAACUCGUCGAAAGAUGAGCUAAUACCGAAUAAGACCACAGUACCCGCGGGAACAGGGGUCAAAGGUAGCCUCUGCUUGCAAGCUAUCACUUAGAGAUGGGCCUGCGCACCAUUAGCUAGUUGGUAGGGUAACGGCCUACCAAGGCAAAGAUGGUUAGCUGGUCUGAGAGGAUGAUCAGCCACACUGGAACUGAGACACGGUCCAGACUCCUACGGGAGGCAGCAGUGGGGAAUAUUGCGCAAUGGGCGAAAGCUUGACGCAGCAACGCCGCGUGAGUGAUGAAGGCCUUCGGGUCGUAAAGCUCUGUCGGGAGGAACGAAUGCUCCUGAGGUUAACAGCCUCGGGAGGUGACGGUACCUGCAAAGGAAGCACCGGCUAACUCUGUG
rnacentral:rRNA from 1 species